ensembl:lncRNA
UUUGCCCAGUUCAACAUCAAAACAGAGACAGGGACUGUACAUUUGGCCUGGUGAGUAGUAAUAUGAGCACACACCUUUGACAAGAGUAAAGUUCAGGUGUAACACAUUGUCUUUUUACCACAAUUUGCAUGUGACCUAGUAAGUAACACUGUUGCAGUGGCAUGUAAGCCUACAGACUCUUAAGCUCUCCUUCAACUACUCUGAAUGGUAUUGAUGGUGGACCCAGCCGGCCAUGUGGAUGGAGAACAUUGUCACAAUCAAUGGGAGGAGGGGCCUGCUCUAUUCUGGGCUAAGGACGUCUCAUUAUUUUGAGACUGCGAGAUAAUGACAAAUCAUUCUCUUCUCCCACCGGAGAUCAAAUCUAGUUAUCCUUUGGAUUGCCCAGCCUGUUAAAAUGUGUGAAUGCUUUAGGAUUGAAUCUUAGCCAUUUGAUCCUGCAGAUACCCUCACUCUAUACAUGAUACGUAAUGGGGUUAGAUACACAAGGUAUAACCAUGGAAUGUAUUGCAUGCUAGCUCAUCAGUCGUUUCUCUUUCUCCUUGGUGUGUCAUGUUACGCUUGAAAAGGGGUCUCAUUGUAGCUUGUCAAGUGUUGAGAGAAAGCGACAGCGACAUCAAACUUUAAACACCUUGCCGGUUUGAUGGUCUCUUUGUGAAGACAGCCUAAAGCUUCAGCGAGACAGUGACCUACAGCUAAGCUGAUGUUUUUAUUGCUAGCCGCUAGGCUCCCUUUGCUUGUCUCCACCAGUCAUACACAUGUAUUCCUCCAAUGAUUCCUACCCCCUACAUGCUCGCAGCCAAAUGGACAUAUCGACAAGUGGUGAAAGAAGCUGAACACACCGUAGUAUGUUUCAGUGAAAACAAGUGCAUAGAACAUUACUCAAGCCUUGGGAUGUAACAAAGACGAGGAAUUAAAAGGAUACAAGGUGAGAGGAUGGGAAUCGUUUCUCUUGCAAAAGCUUUGCUAGAAAGACAAUUAAGGAAAAUGGUUUUUGCUCUCCAAGCAUAAUAUAUUGGUUUACCAAGUCAGACGCGCUUGUCCUUCUACACCACAAGCUCCAUUAACCUGAUCUGCAGAGAAGGGCUGUGGGCUAUGUUCUAAAGGAGAAGAAUGCGUGAAAGCUCUCAUGUGUCCGCGACAUACAGCGUGGCAGACUACAUUUUUCGAUUUUCGUUCACAACCACAAAGGAUACAACUGUAUUCCACACUGUUUUAAAAAAAGUAAGCUUUGGACAAGCAGCUAGACAAGAAUCAAACAACAAAAUCUGUCCACAAUACACUGGAAAGCCAUUUUAUACCUAGA